AUUACUUUGUAUAACAAACGAGGCUUUCGAUAAAAUGGGAUUCCCUAAAUAAAAUAAAUCUAAGAAGCAGAAGAAUUGUUGUGAACAUAAAAAUAUUUUAUUUAAACAUUGGAGGGAUAAAGCAUGACACGGAGAGAGGCACCAAAGGUCUUGGGAGGAAGAUUAUGGGUGAAACGAGCACGAACAACACCAGAAUUUCCAUGAGGACGACUAACAGUUCUAAAACGUAAUUAGUAAAGGUUUUGAAUGUAUUCGUUUAGCCAACAAAAAACGACCGUGAAAAUAUAGCAUUAACGUUUCUUCAUAUUCUCCAAAGAAACGCAAGAAUUUAAUUACAAAAAUAAACUUACCCCCAAAUGACACGAAUCUUGGAUCCACGAACGGGCUUGUUGCUUUUGUAGACGAAGCAAAUACGCUUGCCUAGGUAAAAUUGGGCUUCUUCCUUAGAAUCACAUCCCUCAAUCUUUACCAAAGAAGUUCCUGGGUGGAUAACAUGUUUGCUUCUUUGAAAAGAGAGAUGUUUAGCUUUAACGUACAAUCUGUGUCCCUGAGCAGGCAUUUUGACUUGGUAAAGGCGGAACUCUUAGUGUGGUGAUCCUUACCGUUUGCUUAAGCUGUGACUGCCCUUCUUGUGCUUGCAAAACCUAAGCUUGUGUUGGUAGUAAAC